rnacentral:lncRNA from 1 species
CUCCGUCCCCUCUGCCCUGGGAGCCCGGCCUGAGCGCUCACCUGCUGCGCCCCCAGCUCUACGUAUCCUGGCGCCGCCGAGGCCAAGGCUGGCCACCAUCUCUUAGAGAAAUGGGAAGAUUGUGAUCCAUUUUUUAUUUUGAUGAAUGCUCUACUUAAGCCCGAUGCCUUGGGGACUGAGUGGUUGCCUCACUUAACUAAUAAGGUAAUUAUUAGAAUUGGGAUUUGUUAUAGUUGCCUUUGACUAUGCUGACAGAAAGAGGAUAACAAU